GACGAACGCUGGCGGCAUGCCUAAUACAUGCAAGUCGAGCGAACAGAUGAAGUGCUUGCACUUCUGACGUUAGCGGCGAACGGGUGAGUAACACGUAAGGAAUCUACCUAUAAGCGGGGGAUAACAUUCGGAAACGGGUGCUAAUACCGCAUAAUAUCUUCUUCCGCAUGGAAGAAGAUUGAAAGACGGCUCUGCUGUCACUUAUAGAUGACCUUGCGGUGCAUUAGUUAGUUGGUGGGGUAACGGCCUACCAAGACGAUGAUGCAUAGCCGACCGGGAGGGGUGAUCGGCCACAUUGGGAAUGAGACACGGACCAAACUCCUACGGGAGGCAGCAGUAGGGAAUCUUCCGCAAUGGGCGAAAGCCUGACGGAGCAAUGCCGCGUGAGUGAAGAAGGCCUUCGGGUCGUAAAACUCUGUUAUAAGAGAAGAACAAAUUGUAGAGUAACUGCUACAGUCUUGACGGUAUCUUAUCAGAAAGCCACGGCUAACUACGUGCCAGCCGCCGCCGUAA
rnacentral:rRNA from 1 species